rnacentral:rRNA from 1 species
GUGCCAGCCGCGGCGGUAAUACCGGCAGCCCGAGUGAUGGCCGAUCUUAUUGGGCCUAAAGCGUCCGUAGCUGGCUGCGCAAGUCCGUCGGGAAAUCCACUCGCCCAACGAGUGGGCGUCCGACGGAAACUGCACAGCUUGGGACCGGAAGACCUGAGGGGUACGUCCGGGGUAGGAGUGAAAUCCCGUAAUCCCGGACGGACUACCGAUGGCGAAAGCACUCUGAGAAGACGGCUUCGACAGUGAGGGACGAAAGCUCGGGUCUCAAACCGGAUUAGAAACCCGAGUAGUCC